rnacentral:lncRNA from 1 species
CUAAUUUAGAUCCUCCUUUCUCUUGUGUUACUUUUUGCCUUUUUAAUUUUUUGCCACCACUGCAUCCUAAGUCUAGAGGGUGAGGCAGCUCAUGGUGCCAAGAAUGUGAAGAGAGUAGGCUUUCUAGUUUCUAAUUCCAUGUCAAAUUCACCGUGUAAAUUUGAUGGCUAUGGUUAUUAUGAUCAUUUGUUAUCCGGUGACAUCAUCAUUAUGUUGGUGGUGGUAACCAUACACGCUAUUUGAGACUUACCUCUUCCAUGCUCUAAUCUUUCAGCAAUUCAUGCAAAAGAUUUUACUUAAUAAUUU